rnacentral:lncRNA from 1 species
UUUAUUAAUUAACUACACUGUUAUUGGAAUUAAUAUGAUGAAAACUGCCUAUGCAAUAUAAGGUGUAAACUCGGCCAAUACAGAAAAAGUCGGCCAAUAUGGAUUUUUUCUGUAUUGGCCGAGUUAUUCUAUAUUGGCCGAGUUGACACAAAUACAGGAUUUCGGAAUGUCUCUAGUUUUUCUAUUGAAAGUCACAAUAAACACAAACUGAAAGUAAACAGUUGUUUGGAAGACGCAGUUUUCAUUUAGUCAUCAUAAACAUGCUGAAAAGUUCAGUAUGGCAUAUAUUUCAGGCUAAAGACGGUCACAUUAAUUUAA